rnacentral:lncRNA from 1 species
AUGUACAAGAUACAGAUGACAGUGGAAGAUGGGCAGAUGGAAGUGGCCAAGGUCAGGAUAACACAACAGGAGCAGAGCAGAGAAGGUGGGGAGGACUCAGCGCCACUGGAGGAGCCUGCAUCCACGAGUGCUCUUGCUGUGCUGCCAGGAGUGACGUCACCAGGAGGAAGAAAAUGGGCAAACCACUCCUUUUUGGAACAACCUAUUAGGAUGAAAUAAUGAUUCAUAAUAAAAAGUAAUGGGUCAUUCUGGGAAGAUAAUGA